CGAGUUAAACUUUGAGGGAGGGUGAGAAUCCUCGACAGGGUUCGACUGCGCGCAGCGCAAGCACGGAGCGAAGCGACGAGUCCGCAGGACGAUUAAUUCUCCCUCACCGCCA
rnacentral:sRNA from 1 species